GACGAACGCUGGCGGCGUGCUUAACACAUGCAAGUCGAACGGAAAGGCCCUUCGGGGUACUCGAUUGGCGAACGGGUGAGUAACACGUGGGUGAUCUGCUCUGCACUUUGGGAUAAGCCUGGGAAACCGGGUCUAAUACCGAAUAUGAUCAUCGGCUUCAUGGUCGGUGGUGGCAAGCUUUUGCGGUGUGGGAUGGGCCCGCGGCCUAUCAGCUUGUUGGUGGGGUAAUGGCCUACCAAGGCGACGACGGGUAGCCGGCCUGAGAGGGGCACCGGCCACACUGGGACUGAGAUACGGCCCAGACUCCUACGGGAGGCAGCAGUGGGGAAUAUUGCACAAUGGGCGCAAGCCUGAUGCAGCGACGCCGCGUGAGGGAUGACGGGCUUCGGGUUGUAAACCUCUUUCAGCACAGACGAAGCGAAAGUGACGGUAUGUGCAGAAGAAGGACCGGCCAACUACGUG
rnacentral:rRNA from 1 species